AUACGUAGGGGGCGAGCGUUGUCCGGAAUGAUUGGGCGUAAAGGGCGCGUAGGCGGCCCGGUAAGUCUGGAGUGAAAGUCCUGUUUCUAAGAUGGGAAUUGCUUUGGAUACUGUCGGGCUUGAGUGCAGGAGAGGGAAGUGGAAUUCCCAGUGUAGCGGUGAAAUGCGUAGAGAUUGGGAGGAACACCAGUGGCGAAGGCGACUUACUGGACUGUAACUGACGCUGAGGCGCGAAAGUGUGGGGAGCAAACAGGAUUAGAUACCCUGGUAGUCCACACUGUAAACGAUGAUGGCUAACCGCUGGUUUUUUCGGAUCAGUGGCCAAGCGAAAGCGAUAAGCCAUCCACCUGGGGAGUACGGUCGCAAGACUGAAACUCAAAGGAAUUGGCGGGG
rnacentral:rRNA from 1 species